rnacentral:rRNA from 1 species
AUGCAAGUCGAACGGUAACAGAAAGUAGCUUGCUACUUAGCUGACGAGCGGCGGACGGGUGAGUAAUGCUUGGGAACAUGCCUUGAGGUGGGGGACAACAGUUGGAAACGACUGCUAAUACCGCAUAAUGUCUACGGACCAAAGGGGGCUUCGGCUCUCGCCUUUAGAUUGGCCCAAGUGGGAUUAGCUAGUUGGUGAGGUAAUGGCUCACCAAGGCAACGAUCCCUAGCUGGUUUGAGAGGAUGAUCAGCCACACUGGAACUGAGACACGGUCCAGACUCCUACGGGAGGCAGCAGUGGGGAAUAUUGCACAAUGGGCGAAAGCCUGAUGCAGCCAUGCCGCGUGUGUGAAGAAGGCCUUCGGGUUGUAAAGCACUUUCAGUCAGGAGGAAAGGGUGUGAGUUAAUACCUCAUAUCUGUGACGUUACUGACAGAAGAAGCACCGGCUAACUCCGUGCCAGCAGCCGCGGUAAUACGGAGGGUGCGAGCGUUAAUCGGAAUUACUGGGCGUAAAGCGUACGCAGGCGGUUUGUUAAGCGAGAUGUGAAAGCCCCGGGCCCAACCUGGGAACUGCAUCUCGAACUGGCAAACUAGAGUGUGAUAGAGGGUGGUAGAAUUUCAGGUGUAGCGGUGAAAUGCGUAGAGAUCUGAAGGAAUACCGAUGGCGAAGGCAGCCACCUGGGUCAACACUGACGCUCAUGUACGAAAGCGUGGGGAGCAAACGGGAUUGGAUACCCCGGUAGUC